rnacentral:rRNA from 1 species
CCAAUAGCGUAUAUUAAAGUUGUUGCAGUUAAAAAGCUCGUAGUUGAAUUUCGGGGUUAAUAAGUUGGUCGUACCUAUGGUAUGUACUGGCUUUAUUGAUUCCUACCUCUUGACGAACUGUGAUGCCAUUAAUUUGGUGUUGCAAGGAAUCAGGACUGUUACCUUGAAAAAAUUAGAGUGUUUAAAGCAGGCUUACGCUU